CCUACGGGUGGCAGCAGUAGGGAAUUUUCGGCAAUGGGGGGAACCCUGACCGAGCAACGCCGCGUGAACGAAGAAGUUAUUCGUAAUGUAAAGUUCUUUUAACAGGGAAGAAAGAGAAAUUUGACGGUACCUGAAGAAUAAGCUCCGGCAAACUACGUGCCCGAAGCCGCGGUAAUAGGCAGGGAGAGAGCGUUAUCGGGAAUUAUUGGGCGUAAAGGGUGGGUAGAUGGCAUAGUAAGUCUUUUGUAAAAAUGCUGGGCUAAACGCAGUAGGGCAAACGAUACUGCAAAGUUAGAGUAUAACAGAGGCAGGUGGAACUACAGGUGUAGCGGUAAAAUGCGUAGAUAUAUGUAAGAACACCAGUGGCGAAGGCGGCUUGCUGGGUCGAUACUGACAUUGAGGCACGAAAGCGUGGGGAGCAAACAGGAUUAGAUACCCCUGUAGUC
rnacentral:rRNA from 1 species